GCUCAUGAUGCCCAGUGGAUGGACCCGAGCUUAAAACACUCGGUGGUGCUGGUUCGAUUCCAGCCAUGAGCU
rnacentral:tRNA from 1 species